rnacentral:snoRNA from 1 species
GGCCUAAUGGUCCUUCUUUGGUAGCUACAUGCAUUGACCAAGGGAUCUAUAAUUGGGCUAAGAAUUAGUUUUUCACUCAUUGAUAGGAACCUGGAACCUCAUUUUGUUAGUCUGCAGAGCCUAUUAUUGUGAUUAAAUUG